rnacentral:rRNA from 1 species
UAUCUCUGUAGAGUCUGCAUAUCAAUAAGCGGAGGAAAAGAAACUAACUAGGAUUCCCUCAGUAACGGCGAGUGAAGCGGGAAGAGCUCAAAUUUGAAAUCUUCAAGGUUUCUACCUUGGACGAAUUGUAGUUUAAAGAAGUGUUUUCUGUUGGAGUUUUGGUAAAAGUUCUUUGGAAUAGGACAUCAUAGAGGGUGAGAAUCCCGUAUUUGACCAUUAUUUCCAGCUUUGUGAUACACUUUCAAAGAGUCGGAUUGUUUGGGAAUGCAGUCCAAAAUGGGUGGUAAAUUUCAUCUAAAGCUAAAUAUUGGCGAGAGACCGAUAGCGAACAAGUACCGUGAGGGAAAGAUGAAAAGAACUUUGAAAAGAGAGUUAAACAGUACGUGAAAUUGUCAAAAGGGAAGCGUUUGACACCAGUGUUGUUUUUCUGAAAAUCAAUUAAAGAACUGUUUAUGCUAAGUUGUUUAGACUUUAUCAGCUAACUGUUUAGUUUUGAGCUUUUCUUUAAUGCACUUUUCAGUUAACAAGUCAACAUCAAUUUCUUUUGCUGUAAAAAAGCUUGAGGAAGGUGGCUUGAGAUUCGUCUUAAGUGUUUAUAGCCUCUUGCCUAUGCAGUCGGAGAGAUUGAGGUCUGCAGCGUAGAUCCUUCGGGGCUAAAUGCAUUUGUGCUAAGUUAUAGCAUUUUAUAGACAACUUGUUGACUAUGAUUUGUCUUGUAGCUUACUCGCUUAUGUUAUUUUACCUACGCUUAGGAUGUUGACGAUCAGCUGAGCGCG